rnacentral:rRNA from 1 species
AGCGAACGCUGGCGGCAGGCUUAACACAUGCAAGUCGAGCGGGCGUAGCAAUACGUCAGCGGCAGACGGGUGAGUAACGCGUGGGAACAUACCUUUUGGUUCGGAACAACACAGGGAAACUUGUGCUAAUACCGGAUAAGCCCUUACGGGGAAAGAUUUAUCGCCGAGAGAUUGGCCCGCGUCUGAUUAGCUAGUUGGUGGGGUAAAGGCCUACCAAGGCGACGAUCAGUAGCUGGUCUGAGAGGAUGAUCAGCCACACUGGAACUGAGACACGGUCCAGACUCCUACGGGAGGCAGCAGUGGGGAAUCUUGCGCAAUGGGCGAAAGCCUGACGCAGCAACGCCGCGUGUGUGAUGAAGGUCUUCGGAUCGUAAAGCACUGUCGCGAGGGAAGAUACGCCAUCGGAUAACACCCGGGGGCUAAGACGGUACCUCGAGAGGAAGCACCGGCUAACUCUGUGCCAGCAGCCGCCGC